rnacentral:rRNA from 1 species
UGGGGAAUUUUGGACAAUGGGCGAAAGCCUGAUCCAGCCAUGCCGCGUGAAUGAAGAAGGCCUUCGGGUUGUAAAGUUCUUUUAGUUGGAAAGAAAAAAUUAUGAUGAAUAAUCAUAAUUCAUGACGGUACCGACAGAAAAAGCACCGGCUAACUACGUGCCAGCAGCCGCGGUAAUACGUAGGGUGCAAGCGUUAAUCGGAAUUACUGGGCGUAAAGGGUGUGCAGGCGGCCUUGUAAGUCAGAUGUGAAAGCCCCGGGCUUAACCUGGGAAUUGCGUUUGAAACUACAAGGCUAGAGUGCAGCAGAGGGGAGUGGAAUUCCAUGUGUAGCAGUGAAAUGCGUAGAGAUAUGGAAGAACACCGAUGGCGAAGGCAGCUCCCUGGGCUGACACUGACGCUCAUACACGAAAGCGUGGGGAGCAAACAG